ACUCCUACCAUGGCGAUUGCAAAGUGCCAAUGUGAUAUCUCAAGAAAUAAUGGGGGAAAAAAAGGAAGAAAGAAAGAGAGAGAGUGAGUGCAGAAUCAGUCUCAAGUUCGGUGGAGCCAGCUCCAGCCUCCACCAAGCCAAGCCAACCCUGUGGCAAGGUUGAACCUGGAUGGGCACAGAGCACACCCAGUUCUCUGGCCCUGGACAGAAGCAAUACUUUCUGCUUGAGCUUCCUGGGAGGCUGCAAGGGUGAGCUACUUUCUGUCUAGGCCUUACGGAGAGCACAGGGCUCUCCCUGAAGAGCAGGGAAGGAGUCCUGGCUUGCAAGAGGCUCAUAACUACCCACAUGCUUGAGGUCGAGAACCUGGGCACCAGCUUAAGGAGGCCAGACCACCUCUACAAAGUCCGUCCUUUAUCCAACAGAAGGAAAAAUAACCCUGCUUCCAGAAAUUUGGUGAACAUUUCACUUGAACACAUAUCAUGUUUCCACUAAAAUACCAGGAAAAUGCUUGUUAAAUAUAUAAAUGGGUCCAAGAAAAUGGUGAGUAUGUCAUAGGGUGUAAAAAAAAAAAAAAGUAGAGUACCUUGUUUUCUCAAUCUUUUAAAAAAGAUUUUAUUUAUUUAUUUGAAAGGCAGUGAGAGAGAGAGAGAAACAUCUUCCAUCUGCUGGUUCACCCCCAAAUGACCACAAAGGCCAGGACUGGGCCAGGCUGAAGCCCAGAGCCUGGAACUCCCAUCCAGGUCUCCCACGUGAGUGCAGGGACCCAAGCACUUGGUCCAUCCUCCACUGUUUUCCCAGGCUCAUUAGCUGGAAGCUGGAUCGGCAGUAGCCGGGACUCAAACCGGCGCACAUGGCGUUGCGGACAGUGGUUUAACUCGCGGUACCACAGUGCUGGCCCCUAUCUUUUCAGUCUUCUUAACACAGACUGGGUGAAGUGUACAGUGUGGCAUUAAAGCUCUCAAGUUAUGAGCAAGUUCUUUCACUUCUCGGAGUUUCAGUUUCUUCAGUAGAUUUUUCAGAUGUUCAGCAGGGAUAAGAAUUCCUGGGGACUGAGCAAGACAAUGCCCAAAGCGCCAUAAUGGCCGGCUCCGGAUAGACAGUCCCUUUCCUACGUGCCCCCUCCAUGACACCCAAGGCAGACGUGCUCCACAGACACACAUCCCCAGAACAGAUACACGCAACACACCCAGACAUGCACACACAGGCACACAUGCCCACACAUAUAUAAUACACCCACCCACCCACACACACACACACAUGCACAUCCUAGAACACACACACAUCCCCCAGAACACACACACACAACACACUCAGUGACAUGUACAUACACUCAUGCUCACACACACAUCUCCUAGAACACACACAUACAAUACACCCAGACACAUACACACACUCACACAUUCUAGAACACACACACACAACACACUCAGACACGGGCACACGCACACCCAUCGCACCCAGACACACACAUGCACACUCACACACCCGGAGCCCGCUUACACGGAUGCACAACUCUCCUGGUGCGGCUCUCACAAUCUUCCAUGAGGGCCCCGAGGAGCUGCUCCCUUGGCUUCUGUACAGUUGUGUUCAUAUGGCUACCAUGGACUCAUUUUCUUUUUUCUUAAUUUGUUUUCCAAAUGCAGGUCUUAAAGGAAAAGUAUCGCCAGGGGAAAAAAAGGCUUCAACGGCCAGGCACGCGAGGACAGGACGCAGCACGGGAAGCAGCCGGAACCGCUGUCCCAGCCCACCAGCCUCCCUCGGCCACGUCCCGCGUCACCUCGGAGUCCUGGCAAUUUCAUAAUUGGCCCAAUGGGUUACGAUUCAAAACCGAAAGAGCCAAUUAGCAGGAGUCUCCUCUGACCCCUGGUUUGGGGUGGGAGGAGACGAGGCAAUGACUUGAGACGGAAGGGGGGGAAAAACUAAACUAAAAAUAAAAACAGAAACUAUCAAGAGCAAAGACCUAAAUCUUUUUGGCUCCCUGAUUAAUACCCCUGUCAUGCCGAUCACAAGCUCUAAACAGCAAUGCUGGUUGCAGCUGAAUUUUUUAUACUUUCUAUUAAUCUUUAAUGAUAGCUUGGUCACCUAGUCUCUUUUAUCUUGUCAGAUAAAUGUAUGGUUAACAGGAUAAUGAGAUUUUUGAAGCUCCGUUCCAGCUCCCAGCUAUCUGGUGCAUGCAGUGACCUCUGACCCCUGGCAGACAGCGGCACCAGGGUGCUCGUAAUUGGUAGGUGUGCUGGGAAUGUAUUGGAAGCUGACGGAUGGUUUAAACUUUGAUUUGAGGUCAGCUGGGUCACCAAGCUCUGGCAGACCAGCCCGGUUUUAUUACCAGCUGCCUCUGAUGGGGAUAUAAUUAGAUUUAGCUAUUGCUUUAUUAAUAAGUAAUCACUUUCCCCACCACUGUGGGUGGGCACAUGUAUUCCUUGGAUAAUUUGAGGACACUGGGCUGGCUUUAUUAAUAAGAAUACAUCAUGCAGUAUUUGGCCAGGGGCAGACACCCAUCUGGAAUUCCAGACUUCGGGCCAGCCUUAUCAUCCUCACUCAUUUCUAGAAUUGGAGAAAUCGCCUGUGCCUAUGGAAAUCCAUCCUUGUCCCAGUGCCUUCCAAUUUCCUGUGGUUAUAGGGGGCCUCUGCGCUGGCCUGCUUCUCCGUGACGUAGGAGAAGAAAACAUGAAAUAAUUUCAUCCAUGCAUUCACCCAUCCACUAGCAUCCCCUCCUCUA